GCUGCUCGUAAUAAUCACACACCUCUUCGUGGUGAGCAGCAGGCAACGCUGAAAUAGUGGCUAAGUGUGAGA
rnacentral:ribozyme from 1 species